AAUUCAUUUUCUCACACUGUGCACACUACACUUUUUUACACCAUUUUUAACACUUAAAGUCUAAGAAUGUAAACUGUCUCUUAAUUGAGCAUAAAAUUGAAACAAAACUUUCAGCAACGGAUCUCUUGGCUCUCCCAUCGAUGAAGAACGCAGCGAAAUGCGAUACGUAAUGUGAAUUGCAGAAUUCAGUGAAUCAUCGAAUCUUUGAACGCACCUUGCACUCUUUGGUAUUCCGAAGAGUAUGUCUGUUUGAGUGUCAUGAAACUCUCAACCCCCUUGUUUUGUAAUGAAACGAGUGUGGGCUUGGAUUGUGGCGGCUGCCGGCGUAACGGUCGACUCUGCUGAAAUACACGAGCUACCCAUUUCUGAGAAAUAGACGGUUUGACUCGGCGUAAUAAUAUAUUUCGCUGAGGACGUCACAUUCUCUAACUAGUGGUGCUUCUAAUGCGACAUCGAAAUCUUUAAGAUUUAGACCUCAAAUCAGUCAGGACUACCCGCUGAACUUAAGCAUAUCAAUAAGCGGAGGAAAAGAAACUAACAAGGAUUCCCCUAGUAACGGCGAGUGAAGUGGGAAAAGCUCAACUUUGAAAUCUGGCAGCUUCGCUGUCCGAGUUGUAGUCUCGAGAAGUGUUUUCCGCGCUGGAUCAUGUAUGAGUCUGUUGGA
rnacentral:rRNA from 1 species